rnacentral:rRNA from 1 species
GACGUAGGGCGCGAGCGUUGUCCGGAUUUAUUGGGCGUAAAAAGCUCGUAGGCGGCUUGUCGCGUCGACUGUGAAAUCCCGCGGCUCAACUGCGGGUCUGCAGUCGAUACGGGCAGGCUAGAGUUCGGUAGGGGAGACUGGAAUUCCUGGUGUAGCGGUGAAAUGCGCAGAUAUCAGGAGGAACACCGAUGGCGAAGGCAGGUCUCUGGGCCGAUACUGACGCUGAGGAGCGAAAGCGUGGGGAGCGAACAGG